GACGUAGGGCGCAAGCGUUGUCCGGAUUUAUUGGGCGUAAAGAGCUCGUAGGCGGCCUGUCGCGUCGAUCGUGAAAGUCUGCAGCUUAACUGUGGGUUGGCGGUCGAUACGGGCGGGCUAGAGUUCGGUAGGGGAGACUGGAAUUCCUGGUGUAGCGGUGAAAUGCGCAGAUAUCAGGAGGAACACCGGUGGCGAAGGCGGGUCUCUGGGCCGAUACUGACGCUGAGGAGCGAAAGCGUGGGGAGCGAACAGG
rnacentral:misc_RNA from 1 species